UUUUGCAAACCCAGGUCAGAGUGGAAAAUUCCCCUAGGGCUCAGGCUGUGAGAAACAUCCUGCCGGGCAAGUCCUAAGCCCAACCGCCUGAUCUCAGGAAAUUCCUCACUUAGCAACAGCUAACCACCCUGCCCACCCCACUUCACAACAAGCCCAGAUCUCUCCCACCCGGACCUAAACUUACCCAGUCUGUAAGCGGGGGCGGGCUCUGGCCUUAGUUGGUGUCCCCCUCCGCGGGUGUUUGUUCGGUAAACCUGUGUUGCUGUAGAGCCGCCUCCGUCCGUUUUUCCUCCCGUUCCUGCGCUAACAAUGACAUUAUACCAAAUGUAACUGCAUGCAUCUACAUCUUAAUUACAAUUAAGAAAUAUCUUCCUGGCCGCAUGCAGUGGCUCAUGCCUGUAAUCCCAGCACUUUGGGAGACCGAGGUGGGUGGGUCACGAGGUCAAGAGUUCAAGACCAGCCUGGCCAAGAUGGUGAAACCCUGUCUCUACUAAAAAAAAAAAAAGAAAGAAAUAUCUUUUAGCUGUUUACCUACUUCCUGGAAAAAUAGUAGCUCUCUGUAGCAUUACGGAGUUUCAGUGGAACCAAAUUUUUACCAUUAAAAACU
rnacentral:lncRNA from 10 species